rnacentral:rRNA from 1 species
UACGUAGGGGGCGAGCGUUGUCCGGAAUCAUUGGGCGUAAAGCGCGUGUAGGCGGCCCGGUAAGUCCGCUGUGAAAGUCCAGGGCUCAACCCUGGGAUGCCGGUGGAUACUGUCGGGCUCGAGUCCGGAAGAGGCGAGUGGAAUUCCUGGUGUAGCGGUGAAAUGCGCAGAUAUCAGGAGGAACACCAAUGGCGAAGGCAGCUCGCUGGGACGUGACUGACGCUGAGGCACGAAAGCUGGGGGAGCGAACAGG